CGGAGAGUAGCGCAGCUUGGCCAGCGCGCAGCGUUCGGGACGCUGAGGCCGCCGGUUCGAAUCCGGCCUCUCCGACCA
rnacentral:tRNA from 1 species